GGAGAGAUGCCUGAGUGGCCGAAAGGGCUCCCCUGCUAAGGGAGUAGGCGGGAAACCGCCUCGAGGGUUCGAAUCCCUCUCUCUCCG
rnacentral:tRNA from 3 species